rnacentral:rRNA from 1 species
UGGAAGCGUAUACCAAAGUUGUUGCAGUUAAAACGCUCGUAGUCGGAAUUUGGCAGUUCCGGAUGUGUGCACGUCGUGUGCGCACUUCGCGGGGAUUGCUUUUGUGGUCUUGCGUAGGAUGAGGCACUUUUAUUAGUGAACGUCCUCACGCAACCACUUUUUACUGUGAGAAAAUCAGAGUGCUCAAAGCAGGCAUUUGCCGUGAAUGUAUUAGCAUGGAAUAAUAGAAUAGGACUUGGUUCUAUUUUGUUGGUUUGUUGGGACUGAGUAAUGAUUAAGAGGGACAGUUGGGGGCAUUUGUAUUUCGGUGCUAGAGGUGAAAUUCUUAGAUUACCGAAAGACAAACUGCUGCGAAAGCGUCUGCCAAGGAUGUUUUCAUUGA